GAGUUUGAUCCUGGCUCAGAACGAACGCUGGCGGCGUGGAUAAGACAUGCAAGUCGAACGGGAUUUUAUUUGUAGCAAUACACGUAAAGUCUAGUGGCGUAAGGGUGCGUAACACGUGGGGAAUCUGCCGAGAAGUGGGGGAUAGCUCGUCGAAAGGCGAAUUAAUACCGCAUGUGGUUAGUGAAGACAUCUUCACGAUACCAAAGCCGGGGUAACCUGGCGCUUCUUGAUGACCCCGCGGCCUAUCAGCUAGUUGGUGAGGUAACGGCUCACCAAGGCUAUGACGGGUAGCUGGUCUGAGAGGACGACCAGCCACACUGGAACUGAGACACGGUCCAGACACCUACGGGUGGCAGCAGUCGAGAAUUUUUCUCAAUGGGGGAAACCCUGAAGGAGCGACGCCGCGUGGAGGAUGAAGGUCUUCGGAUUGUAAACUCCUGUCAUUUGGGAACAAGUUGCAUCGGUUAACUGCCGAUGCAUUGAUAGUACCAGAAGAGGAAGAGACGGCUAACUCUGUGCCAGCAGCCGCGGUAAUACAGAGGUCUCAAGCGUUGUUCGGAUUCAUUGGGCGUAAAGGGUGCGUAGGUGGCGGGGUAAGUCUGGUGUGAAAUCUCGGGGCUCAACCCCGAAACUGCACUGGAUACUGCCUUGCUCGAGUACUGGAGAGGAGAUUGGAAUUUACGGUGUAGCAGUGAAAUGCGUAGAUAUCGUAAGGAAGACCAGUGGCGAAGGCGAAUCUCUGGACAGUUACUGACACUGAGGCACGAAGGCCAGGGGAGCAAACGGGAUUAGAUACCCCGGUAGUCCUGGCAGUAAACGGUGCGCGUUUGGUGUGGGAGGAUUCGACCCCUUCUGUGCCGGAGCUAACGCGUUAAACGCGCCGCCUGGGGAGUACGGUCGCAAGAUUAAAACUCAAAGAAAUUGACGGGGGCCCGCACAA
rnacentral:rRNA from 1 species